GUAUUGUAUUGCGUUAAACGCUAUGUACAUUCCAUGAGACUUUAUAACGGUGUGUGUGUAAAGACAUAGCACCAUGGCAAGAGGACAGAGCCCCCAGGCCACAGAACUACAGAGGGUGCACAGGUGUGAGUGGAUGUGUGAACAGAGCGUGCACAUGCCCCCAUUUGAGGACCAGCAACAACUCGUGUUGACAAUUCGGUAAUGAUCCUUCCGCAGGUUCACCUACGGAAA
rnacentral:misc_RNA from 1 species